rnacentral:rRNA from 1 species
UAAAAAUUUCGGGAGACGGAUAGAAGGGAGCUUGCUCCUGGAUUACAGCGGCGGACGGGUGAGUAAUGCCAAGGAAUCUGCCUGGUAGUGGGGGAUAACGUCCGGAAACGGGCGCUAAUACCGCAACGUCCUGAGGGAGAAAGUGGGGGAUCUUCGGACCUCACGCUAUCAGAUGAGCCUAGGUCGGAUUAGCUAGUUGGUGGGGUAAAGGCCUACCAAGGCGACGAUCCGUAACUGGUCUGAGAGGAUGAUCAGUCACACUGGAACUGAGACACGGUCCAGACUCCUACGGGAGGCAGCAGUGGGGAAUAUUGGACAAUGGGCGAAAGCCUGAUCCAGCCAUGCCGCGUGUGUGAAGAAGGUCUUCGGAUUGUAAAGCACUUUAAGUUGGGAGGAAGGGCAGUAAGUUAAUACCUUGCUGUUUUGACGUUACCAACAGAAUAAGCACCGGCUAACUUCGUGCCAGCAGCCGCGGUAAUACGAAGGGUGCAAGCGUUAAUCGGAAUUACUGGGCGUAAAGCGCGCGUAGGUGGUUCAGCAAGUUGGAUGUGAAAUCCCCGGGCUCAACCUGGGAACUGCAUCCAAAACUACUGAGCUAGAGUACGGUAGAGGGUGGUGGAAUUUCCUGUGUAGCGGUGAAAUGCGUAGAUAUAGGAAGGAACACCAGUGGCGAAGGCGACCACCUGGACUGAUACUGACACUGAGGUGCGAAAGCGUGGGGAGCAAACAGGAGUAGAUACCCUGGUAGUCCACGCCGUAACGAUGUCGACUAGCCUUUGGGAUCCUUGAGAUCUUAGUGGCGCACUACGCGAUAAGUCGACCGCCUGGGGAGUACGGCCGCAGGUUAAAACUCAAAUGAAUUGACGGGGCCCGCACAAGCGUGGAGCAGUGGUUUACUUCGAAGCAACGCGAAGAACCUUACCUGGCCUUGACAUGCUGAGAACUUUCCAGAGAUGGAUUGGUGCCCUUCCGGGAACUCAGACACAGAUACUGCAUGGCU